rnacentral:rRNA from 1 species
GACGAACGCUGGCGGCGUGCUUAACACAUGCAAGUCGAACGGAAAGGCCCCUUUGGGGGUACUCGAGUGGCGAACGGGUGAGUAACACGUGAGUAACCUGCCCUUGACUUCGGGAUAACUUCAGGAAACUGGGGCUAAUACCGGAUAGGAAUCCUUGCUGCAUGGUGGUGGUUGGAAAGCUUCGGCGGUUUUGGAUGGACUCGCGGCUUAUCAGCUUGUUGGUGGGGUAGUGGCUUACCAAGGCUUUGACGGGUAGCCGGCCUGAGAGGGCGACCGGCCACAUUGGGACUGAGAUACGGCCCAGACUCCUACGGGAGGCAGCAGUGGGGAAUAUUGCACAAUGGGCGGAAGCCUGAUGCAGCAACGCCGCGUGCGGGAUGACGGCCUUCGGGUUGUAAACCGCUUUCAGCAGGGGCGAAGCUUGUGGUGACGUUACCUGCAGAAGAAGCACCGGCUAACUACGUG